UACAGAGGUCUCAAGCGUUUGUUCGGAUUCAUUGGGCGUAAAGGGUGCGUAGGUGGCGCUGUAAGUCGGGUGUGAAAUUUCGGAGCUUAACUCCGAAACUGCAUUCGAUACUGCGGUGCUUUGAGGACUGGAGAGGAGACUGGAAUUCAUGGUGUAGCAGUGAAAAUGCGUAGAGAUCAUGAGGAAGACCAGUGGCGAAAGGCGGGGUCUCUGGACAGUUCCUGACAUGAGGCACGAAGGCCCAGGGGGAGCAAAACAGG
rnacentral:rRNA from 1 species